ACCAUGGCAUAAAUAAAGUGCCCUUGACAGGGAAAGGGAAGAGGAAUUAGUUAUUUCUAAAGAAGUCAGGGAAUAUUCAGAAAGUAAAGAUGAGUGUGGCAGUCUGAAUGAAGCAACUAGAAAUUUAACAUUGAGAUGGCAGUCAAGGAUAGGCCCUUAGGGAAAAUUUAAGAAUUGGAUAAAGGCAAGGUAAUAGAGAAAACUGAGAAGACAGAGGGGAAAAGAGAAAACCAAAAGGAAAUGGUGAACUCAAACCCAGAAAGGAGAACAUUCCAAGUCAGAAACGGUUUAUAAAGUUGUUUCCUGGGAAAUCAUGAGAUGUCAUCUGAGAAGAGGCCAUUUGAUUUGAAAUUAUGGAAGUCUUGAAGACAAUCUAGAUUAUAGUCAUUUGAGAGAUGAAAAGGAGAAUACUGAGACCACCAUGUGGAUGAGCUAGCCUGCUGAAGAAUGAAAGGCCACGUGUGGAAAAGAAUCCAGCACCCUGGUCAAAAGCCAUACAGCCAUGAGCUGACAGCCUGUCCAUCACCAGAUAUAAGGAAGUUUGGAAGCUUGAGGAAAUUGCUUCAGAUUGAGCAGUUUGGGCUCCCACUGACAGAUGUUGGCUGCUCAUAUUGACAUAUCCUAUUGAACGCUAAUGAAAUCUUAAUGAAAUAUUAGUUCAUCAGUACAAGUGGCUUGGAACAAAGUGGUUUUCAAUUUGGGGGCUGCACAGAAGAUCACCAGGGCAGGAAGUUGUUUUAAAACUCUAGGUGUUCUAGCCACACACCAAACCCAUUACAUUUAGAGACUCUGGAAACGGACCCAAGAAAGAAGUUGUUUUCAAAUCUCUACAAAUAAUGCCAAUAGCAGCCAACGUUGAGAAUCAUGGACUUAAAUUCUUGGCUGACGCUCUCGUAUGUAAAAAUAAAACAUCACUGAGAUGAUCCCUGAGCAUCCUUGCCAUGCAAGUCCGUCCUUCAUCUCCAUAAUCCUGCAUGAGAGCAUUUCCUUCACCAGUGUUCUCCUUUCACUGCUCACGAAACAACGAGGAAAAUCCAGUGAGGUCAUUUUUGCCUUAGCUUUGUGACUUUGGUGAAUACAAAUGUUCUCCAAAGUUUACAUGGCUUCAUAAGAUGUUUACCAUGUCUGCUCACCUAGUCGUUUGUCAGAAGAGAAGGAAAAACAGCUGUAAUCUGUCCAAAGAAAAGUGUAAGUCGAACAUGAAAGAUAUUACAAAAAUAAAUGUUUUAGAAGUGGGAUGAGCCUUUUUGUAAACACAAGAAAGCACCUGCUUAUUGACACCAUGCUACUGUGGAAAUUAUGUGCAAGUGUUUGCAUAAUUACAGAUCUAUAUUCCAUAUAUGUAAAGCAAAACUAUUUGCAUGAGUCAUUUGCAGAAGACUUGGAAGCCUCUUGCCUGAGUCCUGACAGUGCUCAGUGCUCUCUCUCUUUCCCAGAGCAGAUGUGUAAUGAGAAAUGCCAUGAUUGGCCAAAUGGGCUUUUAUAGGGAGGCUCUGGGAAGAAGAAAACUUGGAGCCAGGCCCAUCCCCAUAGCACAAUCACCUGCUGUGGGCCAUUCAGUUCAUGCCAGCCAUUUUUAUCCACAGCUUUUUCUACCUCACAGGUGUGUCAUAAAAGAACUACAUAAUGUGUAAGACACUCCAUGGUGCUGUGAAGCAAGUAACCAAAUAAAUAUAGGAUGUUUACCUUGCCAAAAAACAGCAUCUCAGCAUCCAACGGGAAGAUGCCAAGCCAUCUGCUAAGGUCAAAUGGUUUGUGACCUGAAGCAAACUGCCUCUGCUCAAUACAAAUGGUGUAACAUCCUUGCCCCCCCAUCCA